ACGAUCGGCGCCUAAAACAAUAAUCAAUUCCAACCUCAGAACUCAUAUCGAUAGAAUAUAUAACUUAUAUAAAAUACGUCACUACGUAGAUCGAUCCGGAAGAUCCACCACUCAGAUUUUAAAUCCAUAACUUCCAGAGGUCCACAUUAUACCUCUAGUACAACAUCCUAAAAUUUCAUUACCAUCCAACGGUCGGAUCUCCGUCAAUUUCCAAAACUAAGUGACGGUUACAUUCUAUUUUAUGAACUUACAACUCCAAUUCUGGAAGAUCCGUAAAUCGGAUUCCCAAUCCGUAAGUUCCAAUAAUCCUCAAAUAUUACGUAUUACAACGUAUCAAAGUUUGGUAACGAUCCAACGGUCGGAUCAUCAAUUCACAUUUUCACCUAAUGCGAAAACUAUAAAACAUUAUUUAAAGCACCUAACCAAUAAUCGUAAUAACUUUCUCAUACGGUGCUCAAUUUGGGUAUAUGAAUAUACCACAGUGAUCUACUCGACGUCACGAACGUCGAAAAAUUUUUAAAAUAAUUUUUUACUGUAGCACGCGCCCCCACGCGCACCUUCUUCUUCCUUGGGUCGCCGGACUGGUUUUUCCGGCGGCCGUUUUUCAAAUUGCCAUAACUUUGUCAUUUCUCAACGAAAUCAAGUGAUUCAAAAACGAAAGUUGUAGCCCUUGAAGAGACAAAGAGAAUGGUACCUUGAACAACACCUAGUUCGCCGUGGUUUGGCCGGAAACUGCCUCGAAAGCCUCGGAGGUCGCCGGAAACUGGGUAUUUUUCAAAUGAGUAUAACUUCUUCAAUACUCAACGAAAUUGAGUGAAACAAAAAGGAAAGUUGUAGUACUUGACGAGACGAAGAGAUUGAUACCUACCUCGACUCCUAACUCACCGGGGAUUCGCCGGAAAAUGCCUCGAAAGCUCCGGCCAAACUUUGAACUUGUCGAUCUCCGUGUUCUUACGUCCAAAAACUUCCAACGAAGCACUCCGAGCUUCCUUGGGACCUCACUAAGCUCGCUGUGAUCUUUUUUUAGCCUAAAACGUAGUCAUUUAGAAGAUCAUGAACAGUACCAUUUCACGGGAACUUUGAAACUAGGGUUUUCCGAAGCAAAACUUACCUGAAAUGGAUACCAUCGUGAUCGUGGAGGUUCCAUGAGUUUGAUGGUGGUCUUAACUCCGUCGUUGGUAGAAGUUAGGGUGGUUUUGGAGUUUGUCCGUGCAUUUGAGAGGGAGAGAACAGAGAGUGAGAGUUCGUGAGGGAGGAGAGAGAGAGACAGGGUACGGGAAAGAGGGAAGGAUUUGAGGUGUGUGGGAUCCUACCCAAUCCCAACUACAAAAUUCUAUCAUAAAAUUUAAGUCUAAAUCUCCACUCUAAUUACCAAAGUUUAGGAGCUUAGAUAUAACGAACGUGAAAAUUAUACCUUAGUCACGUAUUAGGGACAUUUCCGUUAAUUCACCAUCACGAGUGUAAAACUUUGGGACGGGCUGUGACAAUAAACAACUAUAAAUUUUAAUUUUUAAUUUAAAAAAUAUAGUAACGUACAUAGAAAUAAAUUAUCAAUUAAUUUUAGGGACUUGGAUCAAAAAUUGAAAACCAACAAAGUUUCAGUCAAAGAUUAUUCAUAACUAGGGACCGCAUCCAAAGUCUCCCUAAAAUUAAAGAGAGUGUGUUUAAUUGGGAUUUUAAGAAAUUUUAAUGGAUAUAAAUUAAUAGAUUUUUAUAGAGUUUAAUUGAUUUGUAUGGAUUUUAUGUAAAAUUUUAAUUCAAUUCUCUUAAAAUUUCUUAGAAAUAUGUGAGAUAUGUAUAUGCUUUACAAUAUAUUACUAAAUAUCUUUAAUUCCCUCAAAUUCCUCAACAUUUUAAAUCCUCUAAAAUAAAUUUCUAAAUGAAUACACUUUGAAUUUCAAUGAAUCUUAAAAUCCUUAUUGAAUAUCCCUAAAUUUGUUAAAAAUAAUUAAAAUCCGUCAAAAUUCCAAUUGAAAUUCCUCAACAUUUUAAAUCCUCAAAAUCAGUUUCUAAAUGAAUACACUUUGAAUUUCAAUGAAUCUUAAAAUCCUAAUUGAAUAUUCCUAAAUUUGUUAAAAAUAAUUAAAAUCCGUCAAAAUCCAAUUGAAAUUGAAUACAUCUUAAAACUUUAAGAUUGCGUGUGAUUAUGUAAGUUAUGUGUAGCUUAGACAAGUAUAAUAUUAAUAUUAUGUCAACCGUGCACAAAAUAGUAAUUAUCCUGACUCGAUUAUUAUUAGUAAAGAAUCGCACCCUAAAUACAUUAAAGACUCAUAAUCUUACCCUAAUCAUCUCACAAUAUUGUUUUCAGUAGAAUUUCCUCGUUUGAGCAAAUUAUUAGCAAACAAAACAAAGGGAACAAAUUGGCAAUCUUAAUUCCUCAGCAAAAAUCAACAAAAUAAAUAAAUAAAUCCCUUGGCGAAUACCCAAAAAAAGGAAGAAAUUGACAAUUCUUAAUUUCCCUUAUUCAACAUGGCAUAAAAUCCACCAAUCGUAGCCGUCAGAUCAAGAACUUUUUAUUAUCUUAAAACAAAUCAAGGACUUCAAUUCUAAAUGCUCGUACACCAGUAAGGAUACUUGCCGGAUCCUCUUUAUGAGAAUCUGGAAAUCUUCCAAUUACAUUCGUUCAUCAUAUAUCAUACAAUUAUUUUUUAUCAGGUACCAUUUAUAUUUAAUUUUAAAUAAAUAAAAUAUAAUAAUCUCUAAUCGUAUAAUAUACGAUGAAUAUAUGUAAUAUGAAGAUUCUCAAUCCUCACAAAAAGGAUCGGCGAGGAUUCUCACUCGUUGUACAAUAUCCGUUUAGUUUUGGUGGGACCCUCCCGAACUGUGCAAAUAUGAAAAUUCCCUCCAACUCCAGACUCCUGAGAGAGGCGGUGGGCCGAGAGAGGAGAAUAAAUCGGACCAGGAUUUGGAGUAAAACACAAACAAAUCGCCUAUAAAUUCCAACCUUCACAUCAGAUUCUCCACACCACCUAUUACUCUCUUCUUCUCUGCCGCUCCCCUCUGAGUUUCUCUCCCCUUUAUCUGGAGUUGGAGCCGCCGCAGGGCGCUUCUCGGCUCCCUGUUGCCGUCGUCUGGUGCGUCUUGAUUUCUCUCCUCUCUCCGUGUUGGGUUUUUUUUUUUUUAAUUUUUUUUUAAUUUGUAUCUGGGGUGUUUGAGUUUUCGGUUGAUUGCAUUGUAUCGUGAAUGAAUUUGAGUUUGCUUGCGUUUUGUUUUCUUGGUUUUUAUAUCCAACUGUUGUUUUCUUUGCGAUUUGAUUCAGGAACUGGUUGUUUUUUUUGUUAGGUUUAUGAUUCCUGGUGUAAAUUUUGUAGAUUUGGCUCCAGAAACAAAAGAGAAGAAAAAAUAUUAUAAAUUUGGGGUUUUUUUUUUUAUGUUUUAUAUGUAAAUUAUGCCGAUGAUAAUUGUAUUCCUGUUUUAUUUGGGGUUUUAGGGUUGGGGUUUUGUACCCAAGUUCGAGUGGUGAUCGUAUCAGUACGUUCGGUUUCUUUUUUUAGAUCCUCAAUUUUCGGUUAGUAUUGUAUGUUUUUCUUUUGGUUGAUUUCGAGAGAAUGUGAAAUUAAGCUAUAAAUUGGGUUUUGUAUUUUGGAUUAAUUCUGUUAAUAUCAAAUAGAAUUUAACACCACCUUUGUGGUUGCAGAGAUGGCAAAUCAAUCAGAAAAUCCACCAACAGCAACGGACGUGGGCGAGAAUUUUAUAAACCAAUACCAUCAAGUCUUUCGAGAUGAUUCUAAGGUGCUCCAUAAAUUUUAUCAGGAUUCAAGUGUGAUAUCUCGUCCUGAACAAGAUGGUUCGAUGAAGUCAGUGACAGCUAUGGAAGUAAGCCUUGUAAAAAGUUUUAAUAGUUUCUUUAGCUGCUCUUUCGUGCUUCUUUUGCCUGCAUUGGUCUUUGGCAGCCUUAGUUAUUGUAAAUUUUCAUGAUGCAUUCAUUCGGUUUUCCCGCUUUUCCUUGUUUCUCUGUUAGCUGAAAAAUUUAGGAUGUUUAAGCAGGGUUUUAGUGUUAACUGGAGUUCUCCUAUUCUGAUGAUUUAAUUGGAUGUUUGUUUUGAAACAGGGCAUUGAGAACAUGCUACUGUCCUCGGGUUACCACAAUUAUCGUGACUUAAAAAUAUUGACUACCGAUUCUCAGUUUUCACUCAAUGGUGGAGUGAUUGUUUUAGUGACUGGGUAUUUAACUGGAGAUGACAAAGUGCGAAGAAAAUUUACUCAAACUUUCUUUCUAGCCCCACAACAGCACGGAUACUUUGUCUUGAAUGAUAUCCUUAAAUACUUGGAUGUUGUGCCAGAUAAUGUUGUCGAAAGUACACCAGAAGCUCCUGUUCCCUCGAACCAUGGUAUGUUAUAUGGUGUAUGCGAUUUCAAAUAUAAUUUUCCAUUUUUUAUUUUUUUUGGGGUUGGCUUUUGGUAAACAAAUUAUUUAUGGAUAUUAUGUUAUCAGUUGUUACAGAGCCCUCCGCUGUCGCUGAUCAGCCCGUGGUCAGUCAAACUACCCCUUUGGAGGUUGAGAUCACUAAUGAAAAGAAAGCCAAUAAUGUGAUGGAGACUGUUCCGGAACCUGUUACCAAAUACAAUGUGAGUGCUGAUAAUCCCAUUGAAUCAAGACAGAGUGUUACCCUGAAGGCAACGGAGGACGCAGCUCCUAAAGCCCAGAAGGAUGCUCCAAAGAAGUCUUUUGCAGCAGUGGUGAGUUAAUGUUUAGGUUGUAUAGUAGUUGGUACUUGGUAUUACUAGACUUGUGCUUAUCAUCUGAUUGUUUCUUGGUUCAGGUGAGUGCUUUGAGCGAGAAUAAAGCUCCAUUUGUUGUGAGGACACCUGUACGCAAACCUGCACCCAAACCUGUUGAGCAGCCGCGUGCACCUGUAACGCCUGAAGCUUUACCUCCCCGAAACAACCGUGCUGUGGAAAAGAAUAAUGUCCCUGCAGGUUGAUAUUCUUUUUAUGGUGUAGUAUUAAAUUUUACCAUUUUACCUGUUUUGGUUGUGCCAGUUAAUGAGGUGUCAUAUAACUUUCUCACUGUUGGAAUAAGUAUUCAUACUUUGUACCCUUCUUAUUUGUCGUUGCAGUUAAGUCUCAUGCCAUUUUCGUUGCCAAGUUGCCCAUGGAUGCAACUCAUGAAGAACUGGAGAAGAUAUUCAAGCCUUAUGGACCCAUCAAGCGCAAUGGGAUUCAAGUUCGAAGCCAUUGGGUAUGCUUUACGUCUUUUGUGUAUUCGUCUUGAUUUAAGCCUUUGGUGUAUUGUUUCUCACUCGUCCUGCAUCACACUUGUACAUCCAGGAUCAGGGAAACUGUUUUGGGUUUGUGGAAUUUGAAUCUGCUGACUCCAUGCAACGUGCACUUCAGGCAUCUCCUAUCAAAUAUGGCAAUUAUGAGCUACAAAUUGAAGAGAGACGAGGCAAGUUGCAAUGUUAUUCAUCAUUCUUUCUGAAUUAUGUGCAUUGCUUUUGUAGAAAUUACUCUCUUUCCUCCACCAUUGCCUUUGUCACAAUUGCUCAUACGAAAAUGUCCUAUGUCCAACAUGUUUAAAAUAAAAACUCUUAUCUGCUGUCUCCUAUCUUUUCCUCGCUGCGCUCAUUUCUUUCUCAUCACCAAUGCAGAAACAGUAUCAAACGAACCCAUGUGUUCUAAAAUAAUUUUACAUUGCCAAAAGACCAUAACCUUAUAUCUGUGGUAAAAAAUACAAAUGUGUUAUCACUCAAAAUAUGCUUGGGAGAUGGCAUGCUUGAUUGCUCACGACUUAUUUUAUGCUUGCAGCCAGCGACAAAGGAAGGUUCUCAUCGGGAAGGGGUGGAUACCAAAAUGACAACUUUAGGGGCCGUGGGAACUACAAUGGAGGCCGCGGAAACUACAAUGGAGGCCGUGGUUAUGGAAGAGACGAUCAUGAGAAGAGGGGUGAAUACCGUGAAUUCUCCGGUCCAGCUGCCGGGCGCAAUGGAGAAGCUUAUCAGCACCAGAGACCUUACCAGAAUGGAGGAAAAGCUCCUCGUCAAACAUCAAAAUCUGCAGCUUAAGUUAGGUUAAGGAUCUUAUCAGGUUGAAACAUAUAAGAAAAAGCUUAUUUACUUAAGAGAUUUCAUACACUAGGCGUUUUUGGUAGGCAGAAGUUAGAGAGCGGCCAUAUUACGAGGUUCUUUACCUUGCUCACUUUUUCGAGUUUUCUUCGGUUUAAAAAAUUUUGUAACUAUAUUUUGGUGGAAUAAUUAUUAUUGGAAGCUUCAUAAUUGAGUAACGUUAGGAAAGACCAUAUAAUUGAGUAACAUUAGGAAGAUCAUAUAUUUAUACUACAUCAGAUGAUACACAUAUGUGAUACAAAAAUAUGGUCUCUUCAACAUUUUUCUUCAUAGUUAUGCUGAUUAUUUUGUGUCAUAUGUUUGACAUCAUCGAAUGAUUGGUGUUGAAGACCAAAUUGAGCAUAUAUGUGCGUAGCUAAGUUGUUAUUUAUCGCACAAUUUGUUGUCCUUACACUCAAAAAAGCAAAUAUUUAACGUGAUUCUGAUUAGAUUAGAGUAUCACUUGAAUAAGAAAAAUGCAUAUUUUCGAUUUGCCCCCUGAACUUGUAUAGAGGUGCUAAUUUCCUCCCUUGAACUUUAAUUUUAACCAAUUACCUUCCUAAACUUUUAUAAUUAGCCAAUUUCCCCCUUGAACUUUAAUUUUAGUCAAUUACUUCCUAAAUUUUUAUAAAUAGCUAAUUUUCCCCCUGAUGCUAGAUUUAAAAAAACAAUCAUCCAUUCAAUUUUUUUAUCCAUUUUGAUCAUGCUGACAAUACAUGACAAUGUAUUGGGGCAAAAAGAAUGGAAAAUUGGAUGGAUGAAAAUUUUAAAAAAUUUAGAAGGGUAAUCUGCUAAAGUUAAAAUUCAUAAAAGAAAUUGACUAAUUAUAAAAAUUUAAAAAGAUAAUUGGUUAAAAUUAAAUUAAAAUUUAAGCGAAAAAUUGACACCUCUGUAUAGAAGGCAAACCAACAAACACCAUUAAAAAAUACACGAGGAUGUGGCUUUUGUUGGUACCAGAGUGACAGAACAUGUGGGGAUACAAUACUUUAUGAGACAGAUGUAUGCAGGCAGGGGUUUUUAAGUCAUUUCGAAGAUGGUGUAAAACACAACCUUGUUUAUUGUCUGUGGAUUGCAAUCCUUAACCAACACGUGGCGGCCUGAAGUAUCCACCAACAAUUUCACACUCUCCCACUCUCCCAAAUAUGAAACACGUUUUCAAAGGACAAGUGAAAAAGGACCAGGAUCCUCUUCUGAGCAGAUGGAGAGGAUCCUCCUGAUCAGGUUUAUCGGUCCGUUUAUUUUUUAUCCAACGGUUACAAAUAGGGGGUCCCUCUAAAGUUAUAAUAAUUAUAACCGUUGGAUAAAAAAUGAACGGCCCGAUGAGCUUGAUCAGAAGGAUCCUCUUCAUCAGCUCAGGAGAGGAUCCUGAUCCAGUGAAAAACUGCUACUUUCCCGUCCAUACUAUUCCCAUACAAGAUAGAUCAUGAGCGACGCGUAGCGUCUUUGACAGAUGGAGCGUGGAGGGGAUGCAAAAUGUGCAGUCACACAGAAUCUCAAAUUUGAAGGGGUCUCUACAAUUUUUGCCACUUAAUAUUUAUAUGUAAUAAUAUUCUAUAUUUAAAAUUGCUUUUAUUAUGAGAUAAUAUUCUAUAUUAAAAUUUUGAUUUUAUUAGCACAUUAAAAUCUCAUCUUAGACUCCUUAUAAGCGUAAUUUUUUUUAUUUUCUAAAUAUAAAAAUUUAGAGCACAAUAAGAUAUUUUGAGUGCUAAUAAUACACCAUAAAAGACGGUAUUUUUUUAAUAUUAUUAUAUAAUAAUGUUACAUAUUCAAGUGAAACUUUAAAGUUAGAGUUUUUGAAGUUUGUUUUCUUGUUUGGUUGUUUAAGAGUGAAGUGCUUUUGAUUAUUUAGUGAAUGUUAUGUUUGUAGCUCUUUUACUUAUUAUUAGUAACAUUUUUAAACUUGCAAUCAGUGAGUGCUAAACUUUGUUUUGAUUUAAGUAAUUAUUUUUUAGUGUCAAUACAUUGUCCUACAUUUUUUAAGACUAUCUUAAGGAGAGACGCUUUUAUAAAUUUCGCACAGGGCCCCUAAAAUCUUAGAGACGACCUUGGUCUGUGAUAGUUAAAGGUUUGUUGCAAGCGUUUGCAGAGAGAUUAGUAUAUGUGAAAGAAGAUUGAACCUCUCUAUUUAGUAUUCUUUGAGGUCAUUUGUACUGCUUUGCCGAACCGUUUAACAUAAUGGAAAAAAAGUAUUGAAAUGUAUAGCUAUUUCAAAUAUACGCAAUCAUGUUAAUUAAGUAGUAGAUAUGAUAUCUUUUAUGCACAUGUAUUUGAAUUCUUUUUUUUAUACAUUUUGGAUUAGUUUAAAAUAAACACCGUUCGAAUAAAAAAUUUAAUUUUUGUUUUAAAAUGAAUUACUAGCAUUUAAAAUAGACUUAUGCACUAUUUUCUACAUUUCUCACUAUUAAAAAAAGUGCAUGGUUACGUUUAUAAUGUGCAAAAUAACUCCCUUUAUUUUUCGGUUGAUGAAAUCGAAUUUCUUUUGGCAAAAAAGUAAGGAAAAAAAGUAGGCCAAAACUCUUCUAAAAAAAAAAAAAAAAAAAAGGCCAAAAAUACCAGACGACAUGUCGCUCUCAGAAGUUGGUGAUUGCUAUGUUGGACACGUGGAUACCAGACACGUAGCUAGUUGUACUAUUUUCUAGGGUGUGGGAAUCUGUAACUUGCCACUGCGGGUCCCACUUCUUUUACCCAUGAAAAUUUAUGAUGACGACAUGUUUCUUGUUUGGACGCACGUGCAUCCCACUCCACUCGCCCAUUUUCCUCCUAGUUGACUUUGUGGGUAAUAGACUUUGACCACACCGUCUUAACAGAGAGCAACUUACAUUGUACACCGUUGCAUAUAAAAAAAAACUAAUAAAAAUAAUUUGAAAACUUUGAGUUUUAACGAUAAUGAUAAAAUAAAGGGCAAAAUGAAUAGUAUCAUGAUGACUUUUUAUAUAAAAAUAUGAUUUUUCUAUGAGUGCGUGCUAUUUCUUUUACUAGAAAAUAAAGGUGCGAAUCUAAUAUCAUUAUAGAACAUGAGUGCAAUCAGUCUUAUAUUUGGUUUAACAGUUAUUUCGUACACUCAAUUUUAAUUUGUAUGAAAUUUAAUACUUUUAUUUGGGUCAAUCUUGGAUCAACAUGCUAUAACUAUCUUGUACGGUUUGACGGGUAAUCAGCAAUACAUAUUCUAACUCUUGACUUUUCAUGUAUUAAUAAUAGACACGAGAAGUUCAGAAUUGUAAUGUUUCUAUUCAAUUAUACAUUGUGAUAGUACAUGUGCUUUUUUGUUAUUCAAUUUAUAUUUCAUUUACAAGUUAGACUCAAGUAAUGACACUUACGAAAGUCCAGGUUAAGAAACCAGCACGAUUUAUUAUUUCGUUGCUGCAAACCUAUAUCCGCGGAGUUUGUGGAAAAUCUACCUAAAAACACUACUUAUUGUCAUCUAACCUAAAAAGCUAUAAAAACUAGUUCCAUGCUAUACAUGUUAGGAUAUUGAAACAUAAAAUCUUACAAUUUACAACCAUAAUUAACAAUUGUCAUCUAACCUAAAAAGCUAUAAAAAAAACUAGUUCCAUGCUAUACAUGUUAGGAUAUUGAAACAUAAUAUCUUACAAUUAACAAUAUAAAAACUCAUCAAAAAUUAAAUUAUCAUAUCUAAAUCUGUUAGUUAAAAAGAUGACAGAGAAAGUAGUACUAGUCAAAUAAUUAAAACGACACCUAAGCAUGACCAACAAUAAAAUAAACAAACAAGAGUGGACAAGUAGUAGAAGGUGGAUUUUCGAUUGAGCAAUUUUAUCUGGUGUAGGUUUAUCUCUCAUCCGUUUUUUUCUCUCCCCUCGCAUUUAUGUUAACGGUCAUAAUUAAAUUAAGUUAACAUCUUGUGUUGACUUUUGUACAGUAAGAAAAAAACAAAAUAAAAAGUGUAAAGGAAAAAUUCUAAUUAGACUGUCUUCAAAGUGGACGUUUCAUAAACCCUCUACUACCUCAUCUUUGUAAAACAAUUCACGCUCUGACAUUAUAAAUAAUGUAUCAAAAAGAUUAAGUGUCGACAAUUCAUCGAAAAUUCUAAUCUAAAAGAGUCUCCUUAACAUUACAAAAAAUGAGGAGAAAAAGAAUUGGAGGAGAGAGAAAUCUAGCAGCAGCAGAGUGCAACAACCAAAACCCACGUCAAGGCAUUUUACGACAGGCCGAACCAGUCGGACCACGUGUCUCCUAACCGCUGUCUAUGUAUGACCGACACGUGGUUCUAUCCCCUCCUGAUUCUCUUCACGACACGUGUGUAGGCAAGGAUAGGUUACUGUUUCUGGUGGAGAUGCCAAAAAGAAAGUGCCUGUCCUGCUACGUGUCGGCACGGCAUUCCUCGAAUCAGCCACCCGCCUCCCCAAGUAGUUUUGCUUGUCAAAACGCCAAGGGCAUUUUCGGAAAUUUGACGAAAAUCUCUCUCUUUGUCUCUGCUUUUCUUUCCCUUUCGGGUUUUUUAUGCAAUACUUUCUUCUUUCGUUUUCUCUGCUUCCGUAAUCUCGGAUAUCUCUCGAGUUGGGAAAUAAACUCGGCCGAGUUGAAAACGGACGACUCAUAAAGUAGCAGAGAGAGAAACGGCUUUCUUUGGUGCGUCGUUCCUGAAUCGGAUUUGAACUGAAUGCUGCGAGCGUUUUCCUACUGUCAUCUAAAACAAGUUUCUGCUAAUGGGUUCUGCUGAUCAAAGCUUCAACCUUUCGAAUCUGCAGAUACAUACAAAUAGCUUCUGAAGUGUGUAUAUAUAUAUAUAUAUAUCUGUUUUUUCCAUGGGUGAAGCUAAUGAAUGGAGAAGGAGAGCAAUGGAAAAUCUGUCUCUGGAAAUGGAUAAGUACCCGAGAGAUCUGCUGCAGAGGUUAAUGUGCAGCAGAAGCAACGACGCGACGACGCGGUUACAAUAUGCGGACGCUAACGAGGAAGAGGAGUCGGAUGAGCUGGAGUUGAAUCUCGGGCUUUCGUUAGGCGGUCGGUUCGGGGUCGACAAGAGCGCGAAAAACAAGCUAAUCCGAUCUACGUCGAUUGCCGGGACGAUGCCGUUUGUGAGGGACGACAACGACGCGACGGCGCCGACGUACACGGCGGGGCUGAUGAGGACGUCUUCGCUUCCGGCCGAGACAGAGGAGGAGUGGAGGAAGAGGAAGGAGUUACAGACGCUGAGGCGGUUGGAGGCGAAAAGGAGGAGGUCGGAGAAGCAGAGGAACUCAAGGACAGAAAAAGAAGGGGGUUCUGUGGAGGAGGAAAAGCGCGAACUUGAGGGUUCAAUUGGGCCCAAUUCGGGCGGUGUCAGGGGUAAUCGGACGGCGGGCCCGCCUUUCGGGUUGCCUAGCUGGGUAGCGGCAGCAGUUGCUAGGCAAGCUGCUAGUGGUGGCGGUGGCGGAGUGGGUGCAAAUGCAUUGGUGAAAUUAAAAGGUGAGAAUUUGAGUGGUUUGCAAGGAUUUGGAAGGCGACCCAAUUCGCAGGGCUCGGCGGAGUCCCUAGGCGGAAGCUCGUCGGGGAUGUCGGAAUUGGAGAGUAAACCUCUUCAAGGUAUCUCAAGUUUUCUGAAUUCUGUUUCUUAAUCUGAAUUUUGAUGAAUUUUGGGAUUGAAAUUCAGUUGUUAAGUGAUUGAUUUUGCUUCGUUUACUGGGUUCUUCUAUUUUGUUUUGUUGAGGAAGAUGGAGUCUUAGGUUGUUUUCCCAUGUGGUCUUUCUUUUGUUCUUUGUUGUAUGUUGGGUGUUCUAAUCACCCGUGUGCUCGCUCUCUUUAGUUCAUGGAGUGCGAUGCAAAGUUGGUUGCUGAGAAAAAUUUGGAACGCGAAAGAGGACAUGAGUUCCUCAGCCUAGCUGACCUAACCAGUUGUUUUCGGUUAGGUUCGGUUCCCUUUAGUUCCCAGAAGGGAUGUAUCUUGUGGCUGCAUUUUUGUAAGACGCCGGUACAGAUCACUUUCCCGUCCAAGAGAGAUUCAAGAUGUAGCUGAUCAGCAUUCCCCUUCCGCCCUUCUGCGUGACAGAUUUUAUCCGAGUAUUUCCCGAGGGGGAUGAACGAAUGUUGCAGCACAUUCUGCAAGCCUGCAACAGCUGCACUGAUCUCUAACCUGUCCGAUAGUCUAGGUAGUUCCAAGGUAGGGCGACGGAUACAUUAGAGAACGAUUAUAAUGCACCGAGUAUUUUCUUCCUUGCCGCACAAGCGACAACAAUUCUGUAACUAAGCAGGUACAGUGUGCAAUUACCACCGGUGAUUCAUCUUCAACUGGAUUGUGAACAAACCGAGAUGCGGUAUGAGCAAUCUGGAGAAGUACUUAUCAAAGUUUCUAGUGCUCUAUGGAAGUUGUUUUCCAUUUGAUAUUGCAGCCUAAACCUAGACGUGGAUGCGAGAGCGGAACAUAUUGAUUAGCUUAUCGUCGGAACUGUACUCUUAUGAUGUAGUCAGGUAGUCUAUGGAAGUAGGUUUCUUGUCUGAGGCUGGCUUCUUUCCAUCUGUCUUCGUCGAUGUGAAAACUUAGUUUACUUCGAUAGAUUGAUAUGUAGUUCAACAGGCUCUUACCUGCAGUAUUUUUAAAUUUCCAAAUUUGCUAUGUGAAUUUGAAUUUGAAAAAAUAAGAUUCCACAAACAGGUGAAGGGAAUGGAACAAAAGAGGAAACACACAGCUACUUUUUCCUCAUUGUUUUCCCUUAUGAUCACAGGAACCAGUGGUUGCGGUGAAGCAAGAAGCGCUGUACCCUCUAGCAACCAGUUGCUGCAAGAACGAAGUAAUCAGGACAACGCUGUGGGCACUUCAGGCACAAGAACAGCAGAUGAUGCAUCCAAAACUCCCAAACCCGACAUAGAAAACCCAUCUAAGAAGCCUAGUUCGCAAGAAAACAGCGAAAGGGAAACGAGGAGGAACGCCAUGGAGGACAUGCCGUGUGUUUUCACAAUAGGAGAUGGCCCAAAUGGUAGAAAAGUUGAGGGAAUUCUGUACAGAUAUGGGAAGGGACAGGAAGUCAGAAUAAUGUGUGUAUGCCAUGGAAGCUUUCUGUCUCCGGCAGAGUUCGUGAAGCAUGCAGGAGGGAGUGAUGUCGCUCACCCGCUUAGGCAUAUUGUUGUAAACCCGGCUGCCGAAAUUUAAAUUUGAUAGCUUUUUUUUUUGUUUAUUUAUUUAUUUUUAUUUUUGGUGCGUUCUAGAAAUGGAGUUUAUCUAAAAAUAAUAUCUAUUAUCUAUUCAUGGUUUCGCAGAGUUUUAAAUGGCAUAUCUUCUAAAAGAGAAUAACUUCCAUGAAACGAUGGAACUCCACUAUUUUACUGGAAUGGGCUUGGUGGGUUUGGUUCAUGGGCGCUUGGCCACCUGUUUUUAUCAUUUUAAGACUACGCAUGACAGUAAGAUGUUGCGUUCUUUUCGUUAAAGCUCUAUAUAUUUCUCUUAUGAGUUUUGAAGAGACGAACAUGGAGUCCUCUUCUUACAAUCGUCUAGUUUCUCUUUUACGACAUGGAACACCCUGAAUCCGUUUCUUUUAAACAAUAACUGUUGUUCAUGAGGUUUGAACUCGGGAUUUCUUCCCAUAAAGUGAAGACUGAAUGCCACUAGACAGUAAGCUACUACCAAUCCUUCAGUUAAGAUUAUAGAUGAUCAAUUGCAAAUGAACUCAAGACAUAUACUAGUAUAACUGCAUGGUUGACAAAAUUUCUCAGCUCAGCAGAAUAUGCUUGUUGCAGGAAAAACAACAAACUGGAAACCAAAAUUCGACUACGCAGAAAUGUAUAAGUUACAAGCAUGUCAUACCUUCUAUAUUUCUAGGUUAUGAUCGAUAGCUCUAUACUUUGCUCAUUAUCCGGCUUCCUUGAAAUAGGUUGGAUUCGCUUUAAUCUUUGGACGACUUGCUUCAUUGUUGGCCUAAAGGCGAGGUUCUUGACUGUGCACGAGACAGCCAGAUUCAACAUCUCGACUAGAUCAUUCUGGGGUCCUGCAUCCCAUAACCCUUCUAUGAAGACCUCCUUAUCCAGACCCUGUUCUAACAGCAUGUCCACCCAAGACACAAUGUUGAAACCAUGGCCAUGUGACGAAAAUGAAGGGUCCAAUGCUUCUUUAUGUGACAUCAAUUCAAGCAGCAUAACACCGUAACUGUAAACAUCAGACUUUUCAGACACAUGGCAAGUCAUAGCAUACUCUGGUGCUACGUACCCAAAAGUCCCUGCCACACCAGUUGUUACGUGUGUUUCUGAAGUUCCCAAAAGCCUAGAUAAUCCAAAGUCAGACAAAUAAGCAUUGAACUCAUUAUCCAACAAUAUGUUACUUGGCUUGACAUCACGGUGAAGGACACGCGGAAUACACUCGCCAUGCAGAUAAGCAAGUGCUUGGGCUAUAUGCAAAGCAAUCUUGUGGAGAAUUUGCCAAUUAAAAGGCCUCUGAGAUCUCUCCUUGAUAAAUUUUUCCAAAUUCCCUCCUGGUAAAUAAUUGUAAAUGAGCAACAUCUCAGUUUCACUGGCAUGGUAACCUAUUAAAGUUACCAGGUUUGGGUGUCUCACCCUGCCAAGGGUUUUAAUCUCAGCAUGAAACUGUUGAACACCGUGAAACCUUCCAACAGCUAGCCUUUUUACAGCUACAGUGAUUCCUGGAGCAAUUUCGGCUUUGUAAGUGGCCCCAAAUCCUCCACUUCCAAUGUGGUGGCUGCCAUUAAAAUUCCCUGUUGCUUGAACAAUAAUCUCAAAUGUCAAAGGAGCCCCAAUGUCUGUAAACAGAGUCAUUUCUUUAUAUUCAAAACCCUGAACCCUGGAAUCUGGUAUCCAUUUUCUCGUAUAAAAGAAAAGGAUAACGAGAGAGAGCAGAACCAAAACAACAGCUGAUGCAGAUGCUAUGGAUGCGAUCUCGACUGAGCCUAAUCCACUGUUAUCAUCACCACCAGUAGUUGCUGAUGCGGAAUCAGGGUUAUGUUGUGAACUCCCAUUCCUAUCUAGCUGAUCUGAAGAUGGAGCAAUUAGCGGAACAUGGCAUGGAAUAAGGAAAGGAUUCCCAAGGACACUGCUGCAGUUCAUCGCACUAUUGUUCAAUGGAAAUGAACCAGACAGGUUAUUGAAGGAGGCAUUGAAUGUAGAUAGGGAUUUCAGAUUAGUCAAGCCUGAAGGGAUGUGCCCAGUGAGUUUAUUGUUGUCGAGCAAAAAAACAGUUAAAUUUUUCAAGUUCACAAGACCUUGAGGAAUAUCACCAGAAAGAGAAUUUGAAGACAGUUUUAGCACCUCAAGGGAGUGCAACCACCCAAAGCUAGCAGGAAUCGCACCAGUGAGGUUGUUGUUAGCCAGGGCAAGAUACUUAAGAUACUUCAACAGACUGAUACCGGAGGGAAUUUGACCUUGUAGCUGGUUCCUGCUCAAGUCAAGAAAGACAAGAGAUCUGCACGUCACACCAAUCCCAAAAGGAAUUCGACCUGCCAACUUAUUGUCGCUGACAUCAAUAAUCAUUCCAUCUAAUCCGUCACAUUUUCCUAGUAAGCUUUCAGGAAAUGAUCCAGUGAGCUUGUUGCCACCAGCAAGAAAUGCAUAAACAGUCUGCUUCUGCAAUCUCUCAGUUGCAAGAGGGAGGUGUUGGAUUGGACCAGUGAAGUUGUUACCACUAAAAUCAUGAAUCAUAGUGAAACUACCACCGGAAAGAGGCAAAUGACUAUCAAGCUGAGUUUGGCAAGUAAAGAGCACUUGAUAUGGAAAUGAUAGAUUGUUGACUCGGACACGAUCUGAAUUUGGGAGCACCUGGGGGCAUGCUCUGUACAGAAACUCGGGCACAGGUCCAGACAUGAAGUUUCCACUGACAUUGAAAACAGUCAUACAUGGAACUGGAAACUUCUCAUCAAUCUUCCCACUCAGCUUAUUUGAUCCCAAAUUUAGAUAAUGCAGCUUCUUGCAUCUUUCAAAUACUCCAGUGACUUCUCCGCUGAAAAGGUUCUGAGCUAAGUUCAACAUUUCCAAGUUCUCACAACCACUCCAAUUGCUCGGAAGCUUUCCCUCAAGUGUUGCCCUUGGAGCCCAAACUAUUUUCAAAUUUGGAAGGGUUGUAAUUUCCUCCGGAAAAGAGCCUUCGUAAUAAUUGUAAUCAUCGUCCAAACCACUAGAUAAAACAAUUGAUGUAUCUCCUUUUGUAUUCUGAUUGGUUGUCAAUGGAUUAAAAAGAUUCGAUAGGACAAGAACAGAUAAAUUGACACAUUGUCCAAGCUCAGCAGGGAUUGGCCCGCUAAGGCUAUUUCUUGAAACAUCUAGAACUUCAAGCAUUCGAAUCCAACCAAGUUCUAGAGGAAUGCUACCAGCCAAUAUAUUCGAAAACAACAAAAGAGUCCGUAAACUCCGACAAUUCCCCAAACUACCAGGAAUCUUCCCAUCAAGGAAAUUCCCCGACACAUCAAGAUGUUCAAGAUUUUGACAAAAGCUUCCAAAUGUGGCUGGUAUAGACCCAUUUAACCUAUUUUGAGCCAAAUAAAGUCCCUGCAACUUCGCAAAACUACCAACAAACCCAGGAAUGGUUCCACUCACUUCAUUGCCUACCAAAUUCAACACCUCCAAAUCCACACAUCUUGAAAGCGAAAUAGGAAUCUCCCCACCAAUUCUAUUAAACCCAAGAUUCAAAACCCUCAACAUCCUUAAACCCGAAAACUGGGUUGGCAAACUUCCGUUCAACAAAUUCCCCUCAAGAUCAAGCACUUCAAGCUUCUCCAACCCCCAAAUUUCCUUCGGAAUUUCGCCACCAAGUUCAUUAAAUGGCAGCGAUAAAACUCUAAGCUCAGUGAGCUUUCCCACCCAAGGCGAAACCUUUCCACCCAAUUUUCCACUAAUAACUAAACUUUUCCUCCAAACAGCGAACUCAUCAAACGGAAAUGGAAAUUUCAAACUCUGAGAGCAAGAGAGAGCUCGAAAAUUACCUCCUUUGCCACUGCUGCCGCCGAGACUAAGCGAAACGACCCUGGAUUUGUCGUUGCAGGAGACCCCGACCCAAGAGCAGUGGUGAUCGAAGCUGUUGGAUAUCCAGCCGGAGAGAACCCCAUGCGGGUCGGAAAACGAGCUCUUGAUCUCGAGCAAAAUCGACUUCUCAGAAACCGGCGCUUCCCCAGAAACGCAACUCAAUAAGCAGAAGGCGUUGAGAAAAAGCGCGGUUUUGAAAAGCAUAUGGCAUUUCAUUUUCUCGGGAGCAAAGGGUAAGAUCGCGUUUGGCUUUUGGCUUUUGCCUUCUUGUUUCUUCGUCUUCUGUAAUCCGCUUCUUCUGCUUCUGGGAGAAGACGAAGACUGAAGACUCAGGUCUUCGGGGGUGUCUGUUUCUGCGAAUUUUGUUGAAUUGAAUUUUAAUUUUAUUGGGUUUGGGUUGGAAAAUUCAAUGACCCGGGGGGGAAGACCGUGGGUGGGCCCCGGGGGACUUUAAGGCUGUGGGGACCAUUGUCGGUCAAUGAUUGCAUAAGUCAACAGAUGCGGAUAGUGGGGCCCUGCAUGCCUGUCCAAGUGGCGGUCUGUAUCUGCCAUCCUGCCGUUAAACGCAUAAUUAUUUUUUAAUUUAGGAAAAUAGACAACUUGAGACGUCUUAAUGACACAAAAAUUACAUCAUUACAUAAAUAAUUGCAAGAAUAAUAGUUGCAUUCUCUCUAUGGAGAAAUGCACAUAUGAGAAUGAAUUUUUAUUGUAUAAAUUUCAUAUUAAUUUUUAUUUAAAAUUAUUCAUACGAAAAAAACAGUCUAGUGUGUAUACAAAAAAACUGAGUGUUGUUCUUUAAAAAUCUGAGAUGCCUUUUAACAUUUGCCCUCGAAUUACUCGACGAAUUGUCUCUAUGGACACUGCGCAGGAUGGCUGCCAGACUCGUGCCAUUGUUGUGCUGCUAUGGGCAUCUAUUAGCACGCUCGUUCAAAAGCUAUUGACAUUAGUCAACAUGCUCGCUCAAUUAUUAUUGACAACAGUCCACAUGCUCGCUCGAAAGCUAUCAGCAUCUACUGACAAGUGUGUAAUAUUAAACUUUGAUAACGACCUCAGGCCUACCAAGACUUGAUGAAAUGCCAAUUUGCAUGCUAUUACGUCCAAAAAAAUUUACAAGCUAAGCGCGCUAUUCUCAACAACCCCAAUAAUAUUUCCUAAAUCCGCCAGUGUAUUAUUCGUACUAUCCAUUGUUGGUCAAAUCGCAAUAAAAAAUCUAUAGAUACAAAUUAUUCAAGAAAUUCUCAUACAAAUGAAUUAUAGUGUACAAAAUGUAAAUGGUUAAUCACGCUAUAAUGGUGUCCAAUGAAUUAUAUAUUUUAUCUUCAAAAAUUAAAAAUAAAAAACCGAAAAUCUCCCUCUCUAUUUGGUAUUUCUGGCUCUGGUGGCACACAGCCAUUGCCUUGGGGUCUCAAUGUCGUCACCUGUGGUUGUUGGCACGUGCCACUCCCCAUCCUCUGCUUCCUGUUUAAGGAUUUAUCAACAAUGCACUAUUUAACUAAACCAAAGGGAUCAGAUGACGCUUUAUCGCAAUGACAAAGAACAAUGAUGUUUAUUUGUUAAACAAUGAUGUUUGUUUGUUAAAAAAAAAAAACUAAACCAAAGGGAUCAGAUGACGCUUUAUCGCAAUGAUAAAGAAAAACCGGAUUAACGAAAAGAAAUGAGAUUAGUAUCAGCUGAUUAUCGCACCUGGAUUACAAUCGAAUACGGGGGUGGCAUAUGAAGGUUAAGUCCGCGCCUUGAUACGGACAAUCGAACCUGCAAUGUAAACGAACCAAUGUAACUGCACAGUUUCUGUUUUCGAAUUUCUUGUUACCGGCAUUGCCAUGCUAAUGUAAGAAAGAAAUCCAAUAGCAGCUAAGAUCCAGUUUCAAUUUUCUUCCCCCUUGUUAUCUUUGAGAAACUGGGGGAUGGUUUUGAAUACGGAUCCAAGCGAAGAAAAAAACCUCAAGCUCUUUGUGUAUGGACAACAAACGUCUACAUACAGAAGAUUCUUCUAAACUACGAAAACAAUAAUCAGCAGACGCAUGAUACCUGGUGUCUUUCCUUCCAUCUUGGGAAAAAGCUAGUCCCUAGAAGUUGGAACAAGUGGUCUCUCAUCUCAUCGUUCGUCACCAUCAAACACUUGCAAUUAACAGCAGCGUACAACCAGUACCUACAAAUCGCAUAGGACUACAUUUUAGGCACAGCUAAACUCGGUAAUAAGUAGAGACAAGUGUGAUUUUUCGACGAUUUAAGCCAUGGAAACAAAUUGCAGUAUAUAUCGACUACAACUAUUCAUGUCUAAUAACUCAGUCCAACCAUUUGAUUGGUCAAGAGAUGCAAACUUACCAAUCAUCAUUUGAACCAACUGGAGUAGAGUAAAGUGCACCGGACUUUUUCCAACUCUCUAACAAUCUCUUGUUAUUAGGAUUCUGAGCGGGACCACCAGUUACACGAUUUUGGUGCAAUAUAACAAGUGGCAAUCGCUUUGAUGGGCUCAUUUGGCGUAACCUGUUCACCAGAGUAUCGAGCUACGACAAAGAUGGAGUCACUAAGCAGCCCAUUCAUAUAUCUGAUACGAAGAAAUCAAAAGACAGAGUGUCACGAAACUAAUCAUAGUCUACCACUCACCUGGAAAAAGCUGAAAUUAUGUUGAUUGACCAGACCAACAUUGGCACCAUCUACAACAGCAUCGAAUGGACCAUGCCUUUGAAGCCACUCCUGGAUGAGUUUAACUUCUAAUCAAUCAGGACAGCUGACAAACAUAUUAUAUAUCAUUUGCCUGAAUCGAACAAAAUAAAAAGUAUAGACGAAUAAUGACUAAUUAUCGAAACCAACAUCAUGAAUACAUAACAGGAAAACACAAGAAACCUCUCCCUUACUGCUUCCCACACAAGGGGUUGGUGUUUUUCUAAUAAAGUUGUGCCUCCCAAUAAAGUUCCAUUUUUUGCCAGACCUAGUUACGAACUUAUUUAUUACACUAGUACCAGUAUCACACAAUCCAUAUAACUCCACAAGGCCCUCCAAGCGGAGCUCUCCUCGUCAAUGUAAAGAUAUGAAUAUAAAGAUGCAUAUCAAGCAAGUUAAAUCAUUUGAGCAAACCAGAUAAGUCAAUGCAAUCAUAUAUGCUAAACUUGCAUCAAGGGUAAACAUUUUUCUUAAAUCUUAGACACUGAAGACAAACAAACAAGGAAAGCAGAGUCACACCUGGAAUCGAAUGAAAUCACCCCGAACCUCCCUUUGGCUAGCCAAUUUGCUCAAAGAGGUAGCAAAAUUCUCGGUCUCUUUCGGAUCAAUGUCGAUAGAGACAAGCUUUUCGCCGCAACAAGAGCAUGUCCCUGCUUCAUCCAUCUGAGUCCUCUCCACUCUCCAAUUCCCACUCCCAAGCCACCCUUGCCCAUGCCACCCUCCACCUCCUCUAACAACCCCUUCCCUCACCUUAUUCACAUCCCAAGUCUCCACCCCAACUUUCGCCGCCUCCUCGGACUUAAACCACUCCUCCACCACCCCAUAAGUUGACUCCGAGACCUGCCUCACCGUGGUCCGCAACCGGUGCAACAUCUCAUAAACCUUGUCACCUCUGCUCGAAUCAGAACUAACUUUUAUCAAAGCAGUGAUCUCAGGUUCCUCCGCCACAACCCCGGAUUCAACCAUGUGAGCAUCAACCUCAUAAGCUCUAUCGGCCUCCCCCUUCUUACAGAACUCAAACAAUGCCGGACCGUAAGACCUCAAUUUCGGCGGAAGUCCUAAACCCUUCAUCUGCUUCACCAAAUGAAACGCCAUUUCCGGGUCCUCCCCCGCGAUUGCCAACCUCGCCGCGCUGGUAAAAGUGGCCUCAUUGGGGACAACCUUAUCCUCAACCAUCUGGCGAAAAAUCUCAAACCCCCUCUUCAAACCCAUAUCACCGUCAUCACCGCCGCCAUUGGAGGAGCAAAGGUAGAGCAAAACAUUGUAAUGGUGCAGGCUAAGCGGGACCCCAUUGCUCCUGGCCUCGUCGUAAAGGCUCAGAGCUUGGACCAGCUGGCCGUGCCUGGAGCACAUGUCUAGCUUGUGCCUAAGGACCCCCUCCGGAGAUUCCCGCCGCGCUUUCUUCAUGGCUUUGUUGGAAACCGCCGGAGACGACGGCGACGGCGAGUUAUCGGAGAGAGCCAGAGUGCAAAGGUUGAGUCUUUUGUCCAUGGAGAAGCUGUCGGUGGAAUUCAGGGUCGGUUUAGGUUUCGGGGAGCGGAGAAUUGGGCGGAAGAAACGGCUGGAGGUUCGGAAAAUUAGGGGGAGUGGGAUUUUGAUGAAGAAGGAGAAGAGCGGCGAGGUUCUUGGCAGAGCGCCGCCGUGCAACAUUUUUGUUUCUAUUUUUUGGGUUUUUUGUGAAAUUAUAAAUUGCAAUAGAAAGGAAGGAUUGGAUUAUGGAAAAUAAGUCGGAGGAUUUCGUCUGGCAUUCAUGUCUGCUCGGACAUGAACUGGGUGAGAAUUCCGCAGAGGUUUUGGAAAUCUCUGCACUUAAAACCCUAGCUAAAACUACUUGAUCGAGGAAACGACACGUCGUAAUAUCUUUAUCUUCUUUUUCUCAUAGGGAAAAGGCUUUGUAGCCAAAAUAAUUUUUAAGAAUACGUAUGUUAUAACUCCUCAUUUUGAUUUUGACAUUGAAAUUGAUAAAAAUGAUCCUGACUUCUGAGUACAUCCACCGUCAAAUAUUUCGAUCAUUCUGUGAAAACAUCUCUGUUAAUGGAAAAGUGUGAAAAUUCUCCGUUAAUAGAAAAACAAGUGGAUGAGUUGAUUGAACAAAAAUAACCUCAUUUUGGCUAAAAACGAAAUAGUUAUUAAGCGUUACUUUUUAGCUUUAUUUUGGUGAAGGGGGGAAGAAACUAAAAAUAAAAUGACUAUUCAAUGGAAAUUUUUAGCUUUGUUUUGGUGAAGGAGGAAGAAACUAAACAAAAAUGGUUUAUGCAACGAAAAUUUUUAGCUUUAUUUUGGUGAAAGGAGAAGAAACUAAAAACAAAAUGGUUAUUUAACGAAACUUUUUAGCAUUGUUUUGGUAAAAGGAGGAAGAAUCGUACAACCCACCGAAGUUAACUUUCAUCAAUGUCUUCAGCUUAUUUGGAUGUCCAGUUUCAAUGAGAUAACAAAUCAGCUAACGUAUACACCUAUAAAUCCAGUUCUUUCUUCUUCUUUUUUAUCAAUGUGUUCAACUAAGCAUUGUAUACCAGUUAAUUUGCUCUUCAAACAAGAUCCACAGCCAAGAAAUAACUUCCGACCAUGGCCAAUGAUGCGAUCCCGCUGCGAGCCAUCCGUAACCCAAGGCUGCGGAACAGGAGAUUCCUGUCUGAAUGGUGGAUCCCUGUAACUCUCUCAAACCUAUUCCCUGUUCUUUGCCAUUUCAGAAGCUUCCUCUCCGUCGAGACAUACUGCUCACCACAAAACACAAAUAUAUGACAUUCAUAAUCAAAGCAACCUUUAUAAAAGACGACACUCAUUGCUCAACAUCUUCUUGAAGUGAUGCUAGCAAGCGGCAUCUAAGUAUGAAUCAAGAUAGGUGUAUCGUGCCCAAACCCGACUAAACUUUGCUAAAAACCAGUAACAGACCUUGGGAAGCACGGUACAUUUUGAUCGAGAUUUGGCAGUGUCCAAACAAUGAGAAGCAGCUGCAGCAACAGAACCAGAUAUUCCAGCCGCAAUACUAACAGCCAAGGGAGAGGGUGGACCGAUUUCAUCAUCCGACCUAUGAGAAAGCAAGUUCACUUCACAAGGAAGGAAAAAUGGAAACAUAAAACAAUGCAACUUUGUCCAACAGGUGCUCCUUUUAGCAAUGCAAACAAUGGUACUUCAUGAUGUCAUUGAACUAAGAUACAGGUUAGUCGAUAGCAUGUUGCAUUAAUACCUGGGUUCAGGAUCCAUCCCCACCGCCUUCCAGUCAAGCAUUGCACGGUGCAGAGAUUGCCAAGUAGAAAAGAAUAUGCCACCAAAAACUGAAUCCCGAACAACUCCUGGCCGUAGACCUCUCCAUAAUGCACCCCAUCCUUCCAAAGAGAUGAUUUCAGAUGGUUUCCUGACACUGAACACUGAGGGUGGCUUCCCAGAUCCUGUCAUCAUCCAUGGGUACCCUUGUAAAGCACCCGUCAUAUUAGGAUGCUUGGUUGUUAGGGUGGAUAAAAGGGCAACAGAAGAAUUUAAUGCCUUCAUGUCUGGACUACACCCACGCAACAAAUUUUGAAUCACAGGUACAACAGCUCCCUUUUCUGGGAGAGGGGCCGAGUUUGGAAUGCAAGAAGCAGAGGUCACCUGGGCAUGAAGUUUCAUAAGAUCAAAGGGAGAGCUUAUUAGUGAUUCUGCAACACCAGCGACAAGUCCUGCCAGGAGGACCUCAGAGACGUAGACGUAGUUAUCUGCUCUACCAUCUACCAAAGAAGUAUUUGCGCAAGAAGAGAUGUCAGGAAGCUGUAAAUCAAAUCUAACAAAGAUAAAAUUUUGGUACCAUGUGUAUGCACAUAUUUAUUAUUAGUUACCCAAAAAUGAAGAGAACUACCUUUAUAAAAGGCAGUCAAAAUUUCAUAUGUUCCAAAACGAGCUCCCAACCCCAAAGUUCUUCCCGCUGCUAACCAUAGAAAACCAUUGUACAAACCUACAACAUGCAUCACAGGCCAAACUUAUCAGCAAGCACAACACUGGGUAGGAGAUGAAUCCUGUAAGCAUAAAUAGAAAGCAGUGGAGAAAACAACAGGACUUGAAAAAACUAAUGAAAAUCGGGGACGAACCUGAAUUUCCUGAAAAAUAUCGAACUCUCUUUAAAACCUAAGAAGUUGUCAAUUGAUUACUAGAUCCUGAACCAACCUGUUCUCUCAAAAAAGAAAACAAAUGAGGAUUCAGGUAAGAAGCAGAUUAUGACAUGGCUCUCCACAAAGCAAAAAACUUGUAAAGCAUCAGAAAUCUAGGCAAUGAUGCUGGGGAGCAAACCUGAAUAAGGGUUUUGAUUGUAUCAAGAGGGUAAGUAAGAGCUGUGCCUAAUGCCACCGACCCUACACCGGAAAGUGCAUGGAUUGCAAAUACAACUCCUCCAUCUAUAAAUUCAGUAAAUAUCAAAGAAAAAGUAAUAUUUAUAAUCAGCAGUUGAGAUAUAGCUUUAUAUCCCCAUUCAAUUUUUACUUGACAAAGAUUUCUUUGUAACGCUGUUCCACACAUGUACUCGACAAUUUUCAGAUACAAAUGCUUGACAGUCGGUAACGCAUAAGCAAACAAUAAGCAGGCAUUGUGCAAAAAUAUUGCAGAAUCAAAACCAACACUCAGACCACAGACCGACCCGAAUGCUCAGAAAAAAUAUUUUGUCUUUCUAACUGGAACCCAGUAGGCAGAAACGAAGACCCAAUACAAUAUACACAAACAUUGGUCCCUUUGCGGCACUUAAACAAACACCUUGUCUGCAAUAUCCUACAAAGAUGAAAACCCGAUAAACUGACAGGAAAAUGACGUAACCAUGUACAAAAAAUGCUUAAAACGAGUGUUUAGCAAUUAGCAUUCGAUGUUUGAAAUCUCAUCGGAAAAUAUGUUACCGGCUCCGGCGCUGUUCAUGUCACUUUCUUUUUCGUUUCCCUUCUUCAAAUUCUUCUGUGAAUUUUCAGCUCUCAACAAUUUUAUAUGAAGGCGGAAAUGCAAGAUUACUGAAAGAAAUUCAACUGCAAUCGCAAAACGUUUUAUUUUUAUUUCUGAGGUUCAAAAGUACGAUCGAAGCUCUGGAGCUGCGGAGCACCGCGGAGCAGCGAGAGCACUUCAGCAACGGAGGAGCUGAGGAGGGAAUGGAAGAUUGGUUUUUUGGGCCUGAGACCUUUCAGUCGAAGCCCAAAUCAUAUUUGAUAACGCCCCGUUCAAUGAUAUUUUAAACUACUCUAAUUUAUAAAAUAAGAAUUCACAAGAAAAAAAUAAAAUAUAUGAUAAGGAUUCAAGCUUAGGUGCGAGGACUAAGGGGACGGGCACACUGUCAGACUACCUUGAAACGACAACGAAAGUUUCAAAAUCGACAACGAAGUGUUUUGAGGACUUUCUGGAACAGCUUUAUACACAGCAUGCCUUUGUAACGCGGAGCGUUGCAGAUUUCGGGUGGUAUUCCGAAAGGGAGCUCACAAGUAACAAGUUUCCCUGUUGUAUGCUAAUGCACGUAUUAUGGGAUGUAUUAAACCUACUGGAAAUUACACGGUACACCGGAAAGAAAGAUCUGAACCUGAAACUAGAACUUGCAACUAAAUUCUCUGAUCCAGAAGACAUCGCUAACUAUCGAUCAGCGAUUGAAUUCGCUGACAAUCUCGUGUAAACUGUACAUACUUUUCUCAGUACAAGUAUCUGAAGGGAAGGUUAGGCAUUCAUUAUAUGGACAAGGAGGAGGCUUACAUAGUCCAUGGCGCUUACAUUUCUCAACAACAGCAACAAUAAGAACAACAAUGACGCCGGUGACAAGAACAACCCCACUUGAACCAAGAAAAGCAACGAAACCAAUAGGUGACUUUUGAUUUGGUCACUUUUUUAGGCGAUAAUCUGACUGGUGGUUGUGGCGGCGGCUGCUCCAGACACGGCUCAGUAGCCUUCACAGAACUUUUCAUCCCAUCUGUCAAUCUGCAUAACAGAAUGCACAUACCAGUCACAGACCAUAGAUUUUGAGCAAAAUGGAAAGAUAACAAAUGCAUUCAUGAUUGUUGAAGAAAAUUUAUGUUUUCACUUAAAGCCCGACGAAUGGCCACCAUAGCUAAAAAGACAUGCAUACAUGGUUGAAAAAAUACAACACAAUCUCUUUUGGCUACAGCUCCACGGAUAGCAGAACACCCAGCUACAGUUAGAACAAUAGCAGCUUGGCCAUGUAACAUAGCAGAACGCCCGGCUACAAUUAGAACAGUAGCACAAUGGCUAUGCACGCUUCUUUAUUCUGCAAUAAACAAAGGGUGCAUUCUUCAUGGACCAAGUUCAGGGUCUUGGAUCUUGGCCAAUAAAAGGAAUGUUUUAGGUUUGUGAACUUUGUUACUACUAUGCAUACAGGAACAGACAUACAGAUGAUGUCUCCUUCCUGUACGCACAAAAUUCUGUAGGCAGGCAUAUGUCGGAAUUUUGUGUGUGCAUGAGCAUAUUACACAUACGAAACUGCAUGUAGGCUCAUCCUAAAAUAAGAAUGCAUUACAUCCAAUAGAAAAGUAGGGUACAUCCAUGCACAAUUCACCUUAGAUAAUGUAUAUAGACGUACAUUGGGAAGGCAAAAGAGCGUGUGCUAGUCCCACUCCCAUCAGAACGGCGAGAGAGGCUAGGGGAUUUUCCAAAUACAGUUGGCGGUUGUACCCUUCCCUCACUAUGAUCUUCAGCAUUUGCUCUUGCUAUGUCCUUGAUGGUCUCAUCUGCCACUCCAACUCCAGAUUUCCUCACUUCUUCAAUCCUGUCACUUUCAAUUUCUACCGCUGGAACUGGAAGAGCUGGAUUGAGCGAAAACAACUCGCCUGAUUUGUACAGUUCCCCAGACUUGCCCAAAUCACCGAGAAAAAAUGUGUGGUCUCUGGAAAAGCUGUUGUUGCCUAAAUGAAUGCUAAACAAUGACUCAUUGGAUGCAACACUCCAAUCCAUUUCUUUGUUGGAUUUACUUGUUGAAAACACAGAAGUCGGGAUCCUGUAAGGAUCAUAUCCACCACACCGAUCCAUAGUUUGGAUUGAAGGGGAAUCUGUUGGUGACAAACCAGGCACCAUGGACCCAUGGGUGACAUCAGAAGCUCGGGAUGUUGAUGCGGGACCUACAAUGUUAUAGUCAUCAUGUUUAGAGACGGAAGCAGUAUGUGUUGAAGUUGUAAUUCUGUUUGUAUCCACUUGGAAUAGAUCUUCCAAUGACGAGUCUGAUGCCAACGAAGACAAAGAGGAUAUAGAGAUUAGUCUUCUGGUUGGGACAGGACCACCUUCAUUAGCAGUAGCCUCUGGAAGUAUUGUUAAAUGGCUACUGCUAUCACUCCCAUCAACAACCUUUGGUGUUUCAGGGUGCUUACUGCCUUCACUCCCAUCAACAACUCGUUCUGACUUCUCGCUGUUCUUGCUUCGAGGUUCCAAGUCCAUUACUGAAACAAUGCCCGAAACAAAUUUCAUAACAGAAAUAAUUGAUAAAUUUUGCCUUCAAAUGCCAAAAUUAUCUCUUCUAAAGUACUUAAUCCAGAGUGAAAUGAUAUGGAUUUCCAACUUGGUUUCAUGAAUAAAACAUAACUAUGAUUUGCAAGCUUGGAAAUGCUUCGCGAAACACGCCUAUCUAGAUAAUAUGACAUUAUCAAUUUUAUAUCUUAUCCGACUUGACUUCUCAUUCCGAGCAAGUAAACACGUUACACGUCAAUGACAUGAAUGAGUACAACAACAACAACAAUCAAGCCUUAUCCGGCUGUAUGAAUCCUAGAAUGUCACUGCGCCCGGUUUUGCAAUCAAAUCUUCCAUUAGCUAAUGACAUGAAUGUGUAAUGAAACCAAAAGCUUAAGACCUAAAAUAUUUACAAUUUCAUGAAUUCUCGUGUCAACAAUUUACCAAUGUACCUGCAUUAGCUAUCAUUUCAUGGAAACAAAAAUCAAAUAAUAAACAGAGAAAAAAUGUCCUUCCUCCAUAAAAUUCUUAAAAAUUAAUUUUCAUAUAAAGGAUAUGAAUUUGAUAGCUAAAUUCAAAUUGAUUAAAAAAUUAAAUAAAAUAGAUAACAAAGGAAAGAAGCUCACCUGAAUCAUUAGAAAUAAGCCCUUAAAAUUCCCAAUUCCAUAUGAUCCUAUCGGCGAUCAGCAUUCCUCUGCCUCCUCCUCGCCUCGAUUUCAUAUAUAUUUUUGGUAGAAUUAAACCUUCCCUCGCCUCAAUUGAAUUACUAAAUUCCCAAAUAAAUUAAAAACAUUUUAAAAAAAAUCUUCAAAAACAAAUUGAAUGCGUAAGAAAGGAGAAAACCCCUAUGAUUGCUAAACCCUAAGUUUGAUAAAUAUAAACAAAUAAAUAAAUGAAAUUAGGAGUGAAAGUUGUGGCCGUUGAAUAUCUGAAUUUGUGGUUUUUGGGAUAUAAUAAUUGAUGUUAAAAAAUUAGGGUUUGUGAGUGGGAAAAUCUGGCGACGGAAGGCGCCGCGAAACUUUCGGCGGUUCUUUGGGUUGCCUCCGUAUCUGUAAGCCUUUCGCGCCAUCUUUAACUUUCUGUUACCUUCUUUGGGCGCUGGAAGGCCAAUCUUAUGCUCGCCUACUAUUCCGGUUGCCGGGACUCAUCCACUAGCGUGAUGCCACGUAGUAGGAGGACAAGGGCGUCGUAGUUAUAUAGUUAGUUCUGAAAAUAUAAACUACGUGUAUGCUACAUAUUAAUAAAAUUUUAUUUGUCGAUCAAAAAGGGUGAGAAAACUAUUUAAUUUUCUAUCACAAAAUUAAAAAAAAUUAAAGACAGUAACGUAAUUUUAUAAAAUAAAUUUUACUAUUUUUUUGUUUAAAUAUCACCUACAGGUGUUUUUAAUAUCUUUAUUUUUUAAAUUUUUAAAUAAAUAAAUAAAUCCCUCUCUCCCCACUUUCUCUCUCUCUCUCUCUCUCUCUCUUUAUUCAAUUUUAAAAACAAAAUAAAAAAAUUCACAAGUGUGGGGAUAUGUUAGUUCUUAUUAUUUUAUUUUAUUUUUACUCGUAUAUAUUAACGAAACUUCGUAUGUCUAUCCAAGAUCAAUAAAAUUACUAUUAUACCCUUAAGAUAUAAUUGAAAGAAAAUAUUAGAAAAGAAAAAAAAAUAUAUGAGCAUUAAAAUAAUUUCUCAAGUUUUAGUUGUUUUUUUCGAAACCUCACAGCCAUGUACACUUAUUGAUACAAACCUCACAUCUCUCUCCCCCCUAACUGUCAACCCCUUUUCUUCGACGUUUGCUCGUUAAAAAAAAAAAAAAAAAAAAAAAAAAAAAAAAAAAAAACUCAUUCUAUAAAAGAAAUUAAAAAAAAACAAGAAAAAUAAAAAAAUGUUUUACACACAAAAGUGUGUGGCCUUUGCUACCAUAUAUUAGAGGAAUGAGAAAAACUUUAGAAAAAAUCCUUGCGACUUGUAAGCAAUUUAUGUAAAUUAGGAUGAAAAUGCUAUAAAGUGAUUUGAAUGUAAUAAAAGUUGAUAAGGGAAGUAUAAAGGUUGGGCUAGAGAAAUGCUAAGAAGACUAUCAAAAGUGAGAUUUUAAGAAACAUUUUAUAUUUUUCUGUCACCUUAUGUUUUUUGCAGAAUAUUUAUAAUAUUGAUACGAAAAUUAACCUUAAAAUGUAGCAGAAAAUUCAUAGAGAGUCUCUUUAGUAUUUGUCUUUUAACAUGAUAAAUUUGUUUGUGAGGUGUUAUUAGUACUUUAAAAAUCUCAUUAUUCAUUCCUCACAAGCGUAUUUUUCUUUCUAAAUAUAAAAAAUUUAAAAUAUAGAAUGAGAUUUUUAGAGUGCUGAUAACAAUGUUGAAAACAAUUGACGUUGUCAAGUGUGUGUUGAAAUAAGUGUUUGUUCGAUUCAAAUCACGAGUUUGUUAGACAGGUGACAAAUGAAUCCGCGGAUAGGGACACUAGCAUUAACCCAUUAAAAUUCUCUAAUUAUUAUAAUAUUAGAUAAUAAAAAAUAAAAUUAAAAAGGAAACGGGGGCGGGGGCGGGGGCGGGGGCGGAAGGCGGGUUGCUAUCUCAGCUUUCCCGGAGUAGUGUCAUCGGCCUCUCCUGUCUCACUAAGACCAGGAAGCACAUCCUCCGCUUCUCUCAAUCUUGAGCUACCCACCAUUUCCAAUCCCGGGUCGGAAUCCCGAGCUCUUUCCUCAAUGUAAUUAUCGUUAAUCUUCGGUUUUUUAGAUUCUCUAUCACUUGCUGAUUUCUUCGAUGAGUUUCUCUAAUUGUUUAGUAAACUAUAUAGUUUGAACUAAUGAUGGAUUGGAUUGGAUUAUAUUGGAUUGAAUUUAGCUUCUUCUGCUCGAGACUGUUUGAGCAAUUUUUUAUUUUAUUUUUAUUUUUUAUUUAUAGAAAUUGGAUCAGCUAAAUGAGUUGUAUUAGGCCUUCGUUUGGCAGCUAUGACUAUACCUACUAUUUCAGUCAGAUGAUAAAUAGUCAUCGGAUAGUACUGACUAAAUUAGUCAGGCUGAUUAAUAUGUGCUUCGGAUAAUACGUCAGACUAUAAUAAUUUUUCUAAAUGAUUUUCACAGAAAACCAAGAAGAAUUUAAAGUUCCGUUCUUUUUCUUGUUUGCAAUGAGUAGGGUUCAUCAGCUGAUACUUUCUGCAUUCAAAGUUGCUUUCUUUAUUUGUAUUUUUGAUGAAAUUAUGAUGUUGAAUUUACAAUUUUCCGAUUCUGAAUUUAGAUAUGCGCCAAGAACAUGAUGCGCAUAGAUAUGGUGGUUGCACUUUCAUAGAUAGAACUCCGCCGAUAACUAGGUUGCUCAAACAUGAAUGUGGUUGCUUGGGCUGCAUUUUAGUACAGUUUGAUAUGCACCGACGUGUAAGUUUCCUUCUUCCUGGUUUUGGAUUGGAACCGAAGAAGGGUGAAUAAAAUCCAAUGGAAGGAUCGCGAUCGCGAACCCCUUUACUUCCUUCUGAUCUUCCAGAAUCCACCUCCUCUAAUAAUACUGGAAGCGCUCGUGGGCUGUCUGGUAUUCAGGGACUGAAGAAGAGAGGUCAUGGAAGUCGUUCUUGGAUAAAGAUUGAUCUGCAUGGGAAUAUAAGCAUUUUGGAGCUUGACAAAGCUACUAUAAUGAGACAUUGUUCGUUGCCUGGCAGAGAUCUCCGACUUUUGGAUCCUUUGUUCAUUCACCCUUCUACAAUACUAGGAAGGGAGAAAGCUAUUGUUGUUAGUCUUGAACAGAUCAGGUGUAUAAUCACUGCUGACGAUGUUAUCCUGAUGAAUUCCCUGGAUGAAAGUGUUGCUCAGUACAAGUUUGAAUUGUGCAAACGCCUAGAGUCAAACGAAGAUCAAUCUGGUACGGAAACUACUUCUACAUAAUAACUCAUAUUUUUUACUGCCUUGGGUUUUACUCGUAGUUUUCCGAUGUAUGUGAGUAAGAAAUCGAUGUUGAAUGCAUUUCUAACGAGUCUAAUUUGAUUCAGAUGACUUGCCUUUCGAGUUCAGAGCAUUGGAGCUGGCUUUGGAGCUAACCUGCAUGUCUCUAGAUGCUCAGGUAUCAAUCUAUUUGCAGCACAACCCUAUCAACCAAUUUUGGUACAUGUUUCAUUUAUGUUUUAGAUAACCCCAGGAAGUUCUUUGUUCACUAUGUUCUGGUGGUAUAGCUAUCCCCAGAUUGGUAGAGUCCCUAGUCAUGUAUUUAUUAUUGGUCAUAACUCUAUAUGUAAUUUUGUUGUGAAUUCAUAUAUCAUAUGAAGUAAAAAUUGACAAAAACCAGGAAAGGAAGCAGGAUCAUCAUCAGCACAAAUCCAUUAUGUUAAUGAAGUUGUUCAUCAAUGUGAUAGGCACAGCAACUGCAAAUGGAGAUAUACCCUGUGCUGGAUGAACUAGCAUCAUCGAUAAACACUGUUAAUCUGGAGCGUGUGCGUAGACUCAAAGGUCACCUCCUUGCAUUGACUCAACGAGUUCAGAAGGUAAGGUAAUUCUAUUGGCAACCAAAAAUUUGCUCUCUGAACCUCAAAAGAAGUAGUAGCAUCUUCAUUUUACUCUCAUUCGUUUCUGUUUUAGAGAGAAUUUUUUUAAUAUACGUGUUCUCUGCUCUUCAUCUCCUCAUUAUAAUUGCUUUUAAUUUAUCUAGGUCCGUGACGAAAUAGAACAUCUCAUGGAUGAUGACGGUGAUAUGGCUGAGAUGUACCUUACUGAGAAGAAACAACGGUCAGAGGGUUAUCCCUCUAGUGACCUUGGUUUUCAAACUAACACAUCACGCGAGGAAACAAUUGUUUCAAAAUCUGCUCCUGUUUCUCCAGUGGGGUCAUUCAGUGGAACACAUAAAUUGCAAAGGGCUUUUACCAGUUUUGUGAGUUCAAGCAGGCAGGGAAGCUUAUUGAGUUCGUCUAAUGGCGGAGAAAACAUUGAUAAACUGGAAAUGCUGCUUGAAGCAUACUUUGUUGUCAUCGACCAUACUCUCAGCAAGUUGUUAUCGGUAUGAGAUGUUUUACGUUCAGUGAAUACUUUAUCUAUUUAUUGGCUUGAAAGAAUGCAGUGGUGGUAUGAAGAUUUGAUUAAAUAUUAAACUGGCAAUAAGUGAUUGACAACAGCAUAUGUCUUGUUUUGGUUAUGCAGCUGAAAGAAUACAUAGAUGAUACCGAAGACUUGAUUAACAUUAAACUGGUA
rnacentral:lncRNA from 1 species